AGUAAUGUAUGGGGAUCUGCCCGAUAAAGGGGGAUAACUACUGGAAACGGUGGCUAAUACCGCAUAAUGUCUACGGACCAAAGCAGGGGCUCUUCGGACCUUGCACUAUCGGAUGAACCCAUAUGGGAUUAGCUAGUAGGUGGGGUAAAGGCUCACCUAGGCGACGAUCUCUAGCUGGUCUGAGAGGAUGAUCAGCCACACUGGGACUGAGACACGGCCCAG
rnacentral:rRNA from 1 species